rnacentral:tRNA from 1 species
AGUUAUAUAGUCUAAUAAGGAUAUUAAAUUGCAAGUUUAAAGGUAAAGUAAAUUUUAUAAUUU